rfam:Schistosoma rodhaini strain Burundi genome assembly, scaffold: SROB_scaffold0000852
ACUCAGCUGAUGAGUCUCAAAUAGAACGAAACGCACGUUCUGGAU